UACGGGGGGAGCAAGCGUUGGUCGGAUUUACUGGGCGUAAAGGGCGCGUAGGCGGCCACUGCAAGUCGGUUGUGAAAUCUCCGGGCUUAACCCGGAAAGGUCAAUCGAUACUGCAGGGCUAGAGUGCAGAAGGGGCAACUGGAAUUCUCGGUGUAGCGGUGAAAUGCGUAGAUAUCGAGAGGAACACCUGCGGCGAAGGCGGCUCACUGGCCCGGUACUGACGCUGAGGUGCGAAAGCGUGGGGAGCAAACAGG
rnacentral:rRNA from 1 species